rnacentral:rRNA from 1 species
UGGUGGAGUGAUUUGUCUGGUUAAUUCCGUUAACGAACGAGACCUCCGCGUACUAAAUAGUUCUGCUUAUAUUUCUUAUAGGUACGAACUUCUUAGAGGGACUUUCAGCGACUAGCUGAAGGAAGUUGGAGGCAAUAACA